rnacentral:rRNA from 1 species
CGUGGAGCGAUUUGUCUGGUUUAUUCCGAUAACGAGCGAGACUCUAGCCUACUAAAUAGUUCGCACAUUGUCAACUUGUGUGCGCUUACUUCUUAGAGGGAUUUUCGGUGUUCAGCCGCACGAGAUUGAGCAAUAACAGGUCUGUGAUGCCCUUAGAUGUCCGGGGCUGCACGCGCGCUACACUGGCGAAAUCAGCGUGCUUAUCCUCUCUCGAAAGGGAUUGGUAAACCAUUGAAAAUUUGCCGUGAUUGGGAUCGGAAAUUGCAAUUAUUUUCCGUGAACGAGGAAUUCCAAGUAAGUGCGAGUCAUCAACUCGCGUUGAAUACGUCCCUGCCCUUUGUAC